AACGAACGCUGGCGGCAUGCCUAACACAUGCAAGUCGAACGAGACCUUCGGGUCUAGUGGCGCACGGGUGCGUAACGCGUGGGAAUCCGCCCUUGGGUUCGGAAUAACUCGCCGAAAGGCGUGCUAAUACCGGAUGAUGUCGUAAGACCAAAGAUUUAUCGCCCAGGGAUGAGCCCGCGUAAGAUUAGGUAGUUGGUGAGGUAAAGGCUCACCAAGCCGACGAUCUUUAGCUGGUCUGAGAGGAUGAUCAGCCACACUGGGACUGAGACACGGCCCAG
rnacentral:rRNA from 1 species